CGCCUCGGGAGGGGCCUGCGGGCUAUCAGCUUGUUGGUGGGGUAAUGGCUUACCAAGGCGAAGACGGCUAGGGGGCGUGAGAGCGCGACCCCCCACAAUGGAACUGAGACACGGUCCAUACUCCUACGGGAGGCAGCAGUGAGGAAUAUUGCGCAAUGGGGGCAACCCUGACGCAGCAACGCCGCGUGGACGAUGAAGGCCUUCGGGUUGUAAAGUCCUUUUCUGAAGGAAGAUAGUGACGGUACUUCAGGAAUAAGUCCCGGCUAACUACGUGCCAGCAGCCGCGGUAAAACGUAGGGGGCGAGCGUUAUCCGGAUUUACUGGGCGUAAAGCGCACGUAGGCGGCAUCGUAAGUUGGACGUGAAAGCUCCCGGCUCAACUGGGAGAGGUCGUUCAAAACUGUGGUGCUUGAGGUUGAUAGAGGAGAGUGGAAUUCCCGGUGUAGUGGUGGAAUGCGUAGAUAUCGGGAGGAACACCAGUGGCGAAGGCGGCUCUCUAGGUCACACCUGACGCUGAGGUGCGAAAGCGUGGGGAGCGAACGGGAUUAGAUACCCCGGUAGUCCACGCUGUAAACGAUGGAUACUAGGUGUGGGAGGUUAUUUACCCCUUCUGUGCCGUAGCUAACGCGUUAAGUAUCCCGCCUGGGGACUACGNCCGCAAGGUUAAAACUCAAAGGAAUUGACGGGGGCCCGCACGAGCAGCGGAGCGUGUGGUUUAAUUCGAUGAUACGCGAAGAACCUUACCUGGGCUUGACAUGGUGGUAGUAGUGAAGCGAAAGCGGAACGACCCUUCGGGGAGCCAUCACAGGUGCUGCAUGGCUGUCGUCAGCUCGUGUCGUGAGAUGUUGGGUUAAGUCCCGCAACGAGCGCAACCCUCGUCGCUAGUUAUAUGUGUCUAGUGAGACUGCCGGUAUCAAACCGGAGGAAGGUGGGGAUGACGUCAAGUCAGCAUGGUCUUUAUGUCCAGGGCUACACACACGCUACAAUGGCCGGUACAAUGGGUUGCCAUACCGCGAGUGGAGCUAAUCCUCAAAGCCGGUCUCAGUUCGGAUUGCAGUCUGCAACUCGACUGCAUGAAGGUGGAGUUGCUAGUAACCGCGCGUCAGCAAUAGUGCGGUGAAUGCGUUCCCGGGCAUUGUACACACCGCCCGUCACAUCAUGGGAGUCGGCAACACCUGAAGUCGGUGACCAAACCGAAAG
rnacentral:rRNA from 1 species